rnacentral:rRNA from 1 species
UAGAGUUUGAUCCUGGCUCCAUCGAACGCUGGCGGCGUGGAUCCACAUGCACCUCCAGCGGGAUUUUCUUUGGUACCAAUACCGAGGAAAAUCUAGCGGCGAACGGGUGCGUAACAGGUGGGCAAUCUGUCGUAAAGUGUGGGAUACCUCGGCGAAAGCCGAAUUAAUACCGCAUGUGAUCUGGGAAGACAUCUUUCCGAAAUCAAAGGUGGCGCAGGCUACCGCUUUCGGAGGAGCCCGCGGCCUAUCCGCUUGUUGGUGAGGUACCGGCUUACAAAGGCUUUGACGGGCGCUGGUCUGGGGGGACAACGACCCACCCUGGGCCUAAAAUCCUCCCCGACACCUCGAGGUGGCAUGAACCAAAAGUUUUAAACAUUGGGGGAAACCCGAUUCAUCCACCCCGUGGGGACAAAGACGGUAUUCAGGUGGAAACUCCUGCCUUUUGGUAACAAGGGCCACGCAUAACCUGUCCAUGUUUUGACUUCCCAAAAAACGAGCAUACGGUAUUUCUGUGUCCCCACCCGCGUUAUACAGGGUUCUCAGGUUUUUUCGAAUCUUGGCGCACAAGGGGCUGUGGCGGGGCGCUACACGGUGUGAAUUUAGGGCUUAACUCCAAACUGCAUCGAUCUGAGUGUUUGAGACGGGAGAGAAAUGAAUUUACUGCGAACAGAAAUCCGUGUAUACCGCAGGACACAGUGUGAGCCGUCUCGGACAUUCUGACCUGAACAGAGGCAGGAACAACCGAUAUACCUGUAUCUGCAUAACAGCACGUUGUGGGAGAUCACCUCUGCCGGAUACGUCACUGCACUGUGCGUCGCGAUAAUCAAGAUGCGGCCUACACGUGAUGUUGUAUCAGCUGGAACUAC